rnacentral:rRNA from 1 species
CCCUUAGAUGUUCUGGGCCGCACGCGCGCUACACUGACGAUGGCAACGAGUUUUUCCUUCGCCGAAAGGUGUGGGUAAUCUUUUGAAACAUCGUCGUGCUGGGGAUAGAUCAUUGCAAUUUUUGAUCUUGAACGAGGAAUUCCUAGUAAGCGCGAGUCAUCAGCUCGCGUUGAUUACGUCCCUGCCCUUUGUACACACCGCCCGUCGCUACUACCGAUUGAAUGGCUUAGUGAGCCCGAGGGACUGUUGCACCUAGAGGGUUUUCUCUCCAGGAGCAGCCGGGAACUCGGUCAAACUUGAUCAUUUAGAGGAAGUAAAAGUCGUAACA